CGGGCGUUAAGUUGCAGGGUAUAGACCCGAAACCCGGUGAUCUAGCCAUGGGCAGGUUGAAGGUUGGGUAACACUAACUGGAGGACCGAACCGACUAAUGUUGAAAAAUUAGCGGAUGACCUGUGGCUGGGGGUGAAAGGCCAAUCAAACCGGGAGAUAGCUGGUUCUCCCCGAAAGCUAUUUAGGUAGCGCCUCGUGAAUUCAUCUCCGGGGGUAGAGCACUGUUUCGGCUAGGGGGCCAUCCCGGCUUACCAACCCGAUGCAAACUGCGAAUACCGGAGAAUGUUAUCACGGGAGACACACGGCGGGUGCUAACGUCCGUCGUGAAGAGGGAAACAACCCAGACCGCCAGCUAAGGUCCCAAAGUCAUGGUUAAGUGGGAAACGAUGUGGGAAGGCCCAGACAGCCAGGAUGUUGGCUUAGAAGCAGCCAUCAUUUAAAGAAAGCGUAAUAGCUCACUGGUCGAGUCGGCCUGCGCGGAAGAUGUAACGGGGCUAAACCAUGCACCGAAGCUGCGGCAGCGACACUCAGGUGUCGUUGGGUAGGGGAGCGUUCUGUAAGCCUGCGAAGGUGGCCUGUGAGGGUUGCUGGAGGUAUCAGAAGUGCGAAUGCUGACAUAAGUAACGAUAAAGCGGGUGAAAAGCCCGCUCGCCGGAAGACCAAGGGUUCCUGUCCAACGUUAAUCGGGGCAGGGUGAGUCGACCCCUAAGGCGAGGCCGAAAGGCGUAGUCGAUGGGAAACGGGUUAAUAUUCCCGUACUUGGUGUUACUGCGAAGGGGGGACGGAGAAGGCUAUGUUGGCCGGGCGACGGUUGUCCCGGUUUAAGCGUGUAGGUGUGUGUUCCAGGUAAAUCCGGUUCACUUUAACACUGAGGCGUGACGACGAGGCACUACGGUGCUGAAGCAACAAAUGCCCUGCUUCCAGGAAAAGCCUCUAAGCAUCAGGUAACAUCAAAUCGUACCCCAAACCGACACAGGUGGUCAGGUAGAGAAUACCAAGGCGCUUGAGAGAACUCGGGUGAAGGAACUAGGCAAAAUGGUGCCGUAACUUCGGGAGAAGGCACGCUGACACGUAGGUGAAGUGAUUUACUCAUGGAGCUGAAGUCAGUCGAAGAUACCAGCUGGCUGCAACUGUUUAUUAAAAACACAGCACUGUGCAAACACGAAAGUGGACGUAUACGGUGUGACGCCUGCCCGGUGCCGGAAGGUUAAUUGAUGGGGUCAGCGCAAGCGAAGCUCCUGAUCGAAGCCCCGGUAAACGGCGGCCGUAACUAUAACGGUCCUAAGGUAGCGAAAUUCCUUGUCGGGUAAGUUCCGACCUGCACGAAUGGCGUAAUGAUGGCCAGGCUGUCUCCACCCGAGACUCAGUGAAAUUGAACUCGCUGUGAAGAUGCAGUGUACCCGCGGCAAGACGGAAAGACCCCGUGAACCUUUACUAUAGCUUGACACUGAACAUUGAGCCUUGAUGUGUAGGAUAGGUGGGAGGCUUUGAAGUGUGGACGCCAGUCUGCAUGGAGCCGGCCUUGAAAUACCACCCUUUAAUGUUUGAUGUUCUAACGUGGACCCGUGAUCCGGGUUGCGGACAGUGUCUGGUGGGUAGUUUGACUGGGGCGGUCUCCUCCUAAAGAGUAACGGAGGAGCACGAAGGUUGGCUAAUCCUGGUCGGACAUCAGGAGGUUAGUGCAAUGGCAUAAGCCAGCUUGACUGCGAGCGUGACGGCGCGAGCAGGUGCGAAAGCAGGUCAUAGUGAUCCGGUGGUUCUGAAUGGAAGGGCCAUCGCUCAACGGAUAAAAGGUACUCCGGGGAUAACAGGCUGAUACCGCCCAAGAGUUCAUAUCGACGGCGGUGUUUGGCACCUCGAUGUCGGCUCAUCACAUCCUGGGGCUGAAGUAGGUCCCAAGGGUAUGGCUGUUCGCCAUUUAAAGUGGUACGCGAGCUGGGUUUAGAACGUCGUGAGACAGUUCGGUCCCUAUCUGCCGUGGGCGCUGGAGAACUGAGGGGGGCUGCUCCUAGUACGAGAGGACCGGAGUGGACGCAUCACUGGUGUUCGGGUUGUCAUGCCAAUGGCACUGCCCGGUAGCUAAAUGCGGAAGAGAUAAGUGCUGAAAGCAUCUAAGCACGAAACUUGCCCCGAGAUGAGUUCUCCCUGAGACUUUAGGUCUCCUGAAGGAACGUUGAAGACGACGACGUUGAUAGGCCGGGUGUGUAAGCGCAGCGAUGCGUUGAGCUAACCGGUACUAAUGAACCGUGAGGCUUAACCUUACAACGCCGAAG
rnacentral:rRNA from 1 species